UUCCUACUCCCUCCGUUCGGAAUUACUUGUCGCGGAAAUGGAUGUAUCUAGCGGACCGCUAGAUACAUCCAUUUCCGCGACAAGUAAUCCCGAACAGAGGGAGUAGUUU
rfam:Triticum aestivum genome assembly, contig: Triticum_aestivum_CS42_TGACv1_scaffold_063626_1DL